rnacentral:rRNA from 1 species
GGAUCCAGACUUUGAUCCUGGCUCAGGAUGAACGCUAGCUACAGGCUUAACACAUGCAAGUCGAGGGGAAACGACAUCGAAAGCUUGCUUUUGAUGGGCGUCGACCGGCGCACGGGUGAGUAACGCGUAUCCAACCUGCCACCACUUGGGGAUAACCUUGCGAAAGUAAGACUAAUACCCAAUGAUAUCUCUAGAAGACAUCUGAAAGAGAUUAAAGAUUUAUCGGUGAUGGAUGGGGAUGCGUCUGAUUAGCUUGUUGGCGGGGUAACGGCCCACCAAGGUAACGAUCAGUAGGGGUUCUGAGAGGAAGGUCCCCCACAUUGGAACUGAGACACGGUCCAAACUCCUACGGGAGGCAGCAGUGAGGAAUAUUGGUCAAUGGGCAAGAGCCUGAACCAGCCAAGUAGCGUGCAGGAUGACGGCCCUAUGGGUUGUAAACUGCUUUUAUAAGGGAAUAAAGUGAGUCUCGUGAGACUUUUUGCAUGUACCUUAUGAAUAAGGACCGGCUAAUUCCGUGCCAGCAGCCGCGGUAAUACGGAAGGUCCGGGCGUUAUCCGGAUUUAUUGGAUUUAAAGGGAGCGUAGGCCGGAGAUUAAGCGUGUUGUGAAAUGUAGACGCUCAACGUCUGCUCUGCAGCGCGAACUGGUUUCCUUGAGUACGCACAAAGUGGGCGGAAUUCGUGGUGUAGCGGUGGAAUGCUUAGAUAUCACGAAGAACUCCGAUUGCGAAGGCAGCUCACUGGAGCGCAACUGACGCUGAAGCUCGAAAGUGCGGGUAUCGAACAGGAUUAGAUACCCUGGAGGUCCGCACGGUAAACGAUGGAUGCCCGCUGUUUGUCUGAAUAGGUCAGCGGCCAAGCGAAGGCAUUAAGCAUCCCACCUGGGGAGUACGCCGGCAACGGUGCAACUCAAAUGAAUUGACG